AAUUACGGCAGGGCCGUUUUCCCCCUGAACCAGUGGGGUCAAGAUUCUUUUCUAUUUUCCUGCGAACUGAGGUUCCUCUGGUUACAAGAUCCCAGGAGCAGAAGCUGGGAAAACACCCGUGGACAUAAGCGCACCGUGACACCUGUAGCAGUGAAGAGAGCACGAAACUGGGCAUUCUGCAUCGCUGCAAGCCGUAACGUUUUACAGCUUUCGUUGCAAGCCAGAUUAUCUUCUUCAAGCCGUUGGCUGAGCUGGGUGCUGAACAGGACGCGAGCGGACAAAGACACCUUGAUCCUGCCCCACAGCAGGACAUCCCCGUGGCUGGGGACACGUGCGGCCGCGUCCGAUGCCUCCCCGGGCCCAGCGCUGCGGCGUGCUGCCACGGGGGGUGCAGCCCCGGCGGGACUCGCUGCUCGUGGGUGCUGGCAGCUUCCCGCAUUUUUCUCACCUUCCCGGCCGUCGUGCGAGCGGACCCAGCUUGGAGGACGGCCGCGGGCUGCCCCGUGCCCCGCGAGCUGCGGCGCCUGCUUUUCCCCAUCCGCAGGAAGGUUUGCACAGACGUGCGCUGGCUUCCAAGGGCCGAUGUCAGGUUUAGAAAUAAAACCUCUUCCAAGCUUCCUUCCCAGUGGGAUCAUUUUUGCGGCUAAUACUCCUUCAUGCGCUAUCUAUUAUGCUAUUAUUAAAACCCAGCUUGCCGACAACUUGGGAAGAAAUACGCUGCCCGCACGGCAACGCUGCCUUUGCUGCGAGCUGGCGCAGGAGCCGAGCGGCUCUCGCCACGGGCAGCCGCCACGAUCUCCCCUUCCACCAGACGAACUUUCCCUGCAGGAUGAAAACUGGCCGUUUGUGUUUCAUCGGAGCAUAAACCUCCACUGGAAAACUUUUCAGCCUUUUCCAAGUUUGACAGCCGUCAGCCCACAUCGCCACCGGCGUCAGUGGCAUCUGCUUCCACAUGUGCAACGUCCCAGCGCUGCUUCUCGUAGGGAAAUAUGGGUCUCUCAUACAAUGUGUGUCAUCUCCCUGCUGCCCGCACUUGUUUUUUCCUCCGUGUCCGAAAGCUUUCACCGGAGGUGUUUCCAAGCAAACAAAAUGCAUGCACUGUUUCAAACAGGAAAUUUUGCUUCACUUCACUGUUGUGCAUGAAACCAUUUUGGAUAUUUGUUUUCCCCCCCCGCUCUCUGUUGUCUCCCUCUCUCUUAAUGCCACUUAGAGUGCAAGAAUGAAAGACAUUAAGGUUUUGAAUUUUUUCUUUUUUUUCUUUUGAACUCCUAUUCCUCUCCUCCCACCACUGUCUUUCCUUUCUCUAACUCCCGUAACUCUGCCGUGCCUUUCCAGCCCUGCAAAAGUUAUAGGGGAUGACAAGAAAAAAAAAAAAAGAAACUCUGUAAUUGCCUCUCUGCCACCCGUGCCGGCCACCGGCAGCCCGAUGCCAGCUGCCUCCAGAGCCUGGAAAGGGGCUGCAGAGACAGAGGAAGUGUUGAAUAUCGCUGGCUGCCCUCAGUUUUUGCAGUUCAUCCAUUACAGGUGUCAAGGCAGGGAUGGGCUUAGGAGGGGGUUUAAACGGGGCUGCGCAGCGUGGGUGACGUUCGUUCAAGGACGUGGGAGGCGAUGCGGGCGCCGGGCGGGAUGCGGGAGCCGUGCCCUGAUCCACAGCACAGGGCUGCUUCUGUACCCGGGGAUGUGUGGCUGGAGAUGCACCUCCUUCCAGGCUGCCUCGUGACCGGGGUGGCAAUUUUUUUUUUUUUUUUAACUAGUCAGAUGAAGUCCGGCAGGAAUAUGAUACUCUGUGCAAAAGUUUAGCUAAAAAAAAAAAAAAAAAAAAAAAAAAAAAGAAAGACACACACACGCACACACGCACACACACACACACAAACACACUGGAAAACCCUUGAAAAAGCCAUUUUUUGGACUGUUCCGUCAUCCUUUGCAAAGUUAGUCUUCGCUGUAGCCUGCUUUUAAUGAAGUUCCUUUUCUUUAGUCACUAUCCCAGGACUUUGCUGGAAGGCUGUCCCACUGGAAAGCGUACAGCCUGCAGCCGGUGUCGCUGGGGAAGCACGUGGGCAAGGUGCAAGGAGGGCUGAGGUCAGAGCACAGCUGUCCUCUCUCAGUGCCGCUCUCACGCCGCAGGCCACGGCCGGGCUCCCCGGGCUGCUGCUGCGAGCUGCCCGCAACGCCGUGCCCGUGCUCUGCUCGCCAGCGGCCGCAGGACACCCGACGCUCGGAUGCGCGAGAGGUUUAGCAAGAUCUUGCUCUGAGACGUACCUGUACAGCUGCUCACGCAACUGAUCAACAAACUUGUGGAAAAAGAAUAAAGAUGAUGAGAUUUCAGAAGACUAAUAAAAA
ensembl:lncRNA